rnacentral:lncRNA from 1 species
UUGGACUGGGCUUGUGAGAUGGUGUGUCCAUUGGCUCCACUUUCUCCACCAGCCUUUUCUUCUCUUCAGCAAAUGGCACAACCUUCCACCUGGUCACCUGAGGCAGAAACCUGCUAUUGCUUUGACCAUCUCCUCCUUCAUCUUCCACAUCCAAAUGAAUGGUCACCAGCAUGUUGGGUCCCUGCUGGAAGUCCAUCACCACCUGUUUAUCCCUACUGCAUUGCCACAGGCCCUUAUUCACCUUCCCGGACUCAACGCUAUGAUCAUUUCCAAGCUGAGCUCCAGCUUCUGCAUGUAUCCAGCCCCACUUGGUCUUCCACUCUCUCACAUCCCAUGGCCAGAGGUAUCUUCUAGACAGAGAACAUUGACAUCAUCUCAUCACUCCACUGUUUAACAUCCUUCUGUGGCUUGCCUUUUCCCAUAGGCAAGUUCAAAUGCAUGCAUCCAAAUGGAAGGCUAUUUACAGUCCUGCCCCAUCAGGUCUCACAGCUGCAACCCCCUCUCCCACCAUAUCCCUGCCCCCUUCACUCCCCUUGCUCCCUAACACUGACCUUCUUGCAAUUCCUCCAAAGUAUCAGGCCUCCUCCCACCUCUAGACAAAUGCCCAGGCUGUUCUCUCUAGCCUGAAAUACCCCCGCCCCUCCACUCCAUCCAACUAAUGUCUGCUUAUCCACCAGACUUUUGGUGAUGCAUCUGUUGUUGUUGUUGUUUGUCGUUGUUUUGAAAACUGCAUUGACCCUCUUUCUCUUCCCCUGCAAGCAGACUCAGGCACCUUUCAUUUGCACCCAUUCUCUACACUCUGCGAACACUCUUGUGCACCUCUCUUGAUGCCACUGUGUUCUCACUGUUAAUCUCCUUGUCUUUCACCCUCACCAUCCCUGUAGCCCCAUGGCCUAGCACAUGCCUGGUUCUGCCUAUCACAGGAUCUGUAAGGGCUUACUGAAGUGAAGUAAGUUGUAAUGAAAUGAAAGCUUCCUAGGUUGGUGCUGCCUGAUCUCUAUCCAGUUAAUCUAUGAUCAGGGUGGCUGUUGAUUCUGUGGUACGCUAUGCCUGUUUGAUUCUUUAUGACAGAAUGUAAUUUGCCUUGCUCUAUUUUCAUCACAGUUUACAUGCUUUUAAGGCAAGAGAACCCCAUUUUCUGAUUUCUAAAGAUUUCCCACCCAACUUCUGUUCAAAUAUUUUGUGAAACAAUGGAAAAAGCCAAAGGCAAUUAAGUCCAUGAAUGGGGUUACAUUGCAUAGGCAAAUAAAUCUUCCCUUAGCUCUCUCCUUUCAAAGCCAUGGCCUCAAUAAAUUCUUCAAGUAAGCUACUUUAAAAAUAUCUCUUCUACCACUAUUUACCUCAUUUGAAUCUAUCUGAAUAUGGAACAGAGUAGGAACAUGUGAAAUG